GGGGUUGUAGCUCAGUGGUAGAGCGUUUGCCCUGCACGCAUGAGGCCCUGAGUUUGAUCCUCAGCACCACA
rnacentral:tRNA from 1 species